rnacentral:rRNA from 1 species
UACGAAGGGGGCUAGCGUUGUUCGGAUUUACUGGGCGUAAAGCGCACGUAGGCGGUUUGUUAAGUCAGGGGUGAAAUCCCAGGGCUCAACCCUGGAACUGCCUUUGAUACUGUCGAUCUGGAGUAUGGAAGAGGUGAGUGGAAUUCCGAGUGUAGAGGUGAAAUUCGUAGAUAUUCGGAGGAACACCAGUGGGCGAAGGCGGCUCACUGGUACCAUUAC